AUGAGGUCUUCGCACAUGUGGCCCGGCUGGAGACAGUGUGUGUCCUACUUGCCGUGGCCGCGCACCGGAGCUGGAGUGUGCACCACAUGGAUGUGCGCUCGGCCUUCCUCAAUGGUGAGAUGGAGGAGGAAGUGUAUGUGCACCAGCCAGCAGGUUUCAUCAACAACGACGAUGCACACAAGGUACUCAAGCUGCGAAAAGCGAUGUACGGGCUCCGGCAGGCUCCACGGGCCUGGAACGCCAAGUUGGACUUCACACUGCAGUCACUUGGGUUCGCGAGGUGUUAGUUGGAUCAUGCUCUGUACAGGCGCGGGGACGACUCAGAUUUCCUGCUGGUGGGGGUGUACGUCGACGACCUGA
rnacentral:rRNA from 1 species